rnacentral:tRNA from 1 species
GCCUGGGUGGCUCAGUGGUUGAGUGUCUGCCUUUGGCGCAGGGCCUAAUCCUGGAGUCCCAGGAUCGAGUCCUGCGUCGGGCU